UACAGAGGUCUCAAGCGUUGUUCGGAUUCAUUGGGCGUAAAGGGUGCGUAGGCGGCGCGGUAAGUCGGGUGUGAAAUCUCGGGGCUUAACUCCGAAACUGCAUUCGAUACUGCCGUGCUUGAGGACUGGAGAGGAGACUGGAAUUCACAGUGGAGCAGUGAAAUGCGUAGAUAUUGUGAGGAACACUAGUGGCGAAGGCGAAUCUCUGGACAGUUCCUGACGCUGAGGCACGAAGGCCAGGGGAGCAAACGGG
rnacentral:rRNA from 1 species